CCUACGGGUGGCUGCAGUGAGGAAUAUUGGUCAAUGGACGAGAGUCUGAACCAGCCAAGUAGCGUGAAGGAUGACUGCCCUAUGGGUUGUAAACUUCUUUUAUAUGGGAGUAAAAUGUUCCACGUGUGGGAUUUUGUAUGUACCAUAUGAAUAAGGAUCGGCUAACUCCGUGCCAGCAGCCGCGGUAAUACGGAGGAUCCGAGCGUUAUCCGGAUUUAUUGGGUUUAAAGGGAGCGUAGGUGGAUUGUUAAGUCAGUUGUGAAAGUUUUCGGCUCAACCGUAAAAUUGCAGUUGAAACUGGCAGUCUUGAGUACAGUAGAGGUGAGCGGAAUUCGUGGUGUAGCGGUGAAAUGCUUAGAUAUCACGAAGAACUCCGAUUGCGAAGGCAGUUCACUGGACUGCAACUGACACUGAGGCUCGAAAGUGUGGGUAUCAAACAGGAUUAGAUACCCCAGUAGUC
rnacentral:rRNA from 1 species